AGCUGCCCCAACAACAACCACAGCUGGCCAAACAACUACCACUGCUGGACCAACAACUACCACAUCUGGCCCAACAACUACCACAGCUGGCCAAACUACAACCACAGCUGGACCAACAACUACCACAUCUGGCCCAACAACUACCACAGCUGGCCAAACUACAACCACAGCUGGCCCAACAACUACCACUGCUAGCCCAACAACCACCACAGCUGCACAAACAACUACCCCAGCUGGCCCAACGCCAACCACAGCUGGACCAAGACCUACCACAUCUGGCCCAACAACUACAACCACAGCUGGCCCAACAACAACAACAACAACAGCAGGACAAACAACUACCACACCUAGCCCAACCACUACCACCACUGGAACCAAAACUACCACAGGUAGCCCAACAAUUACCACCACUGGACCAACGACUACAACAGCUAGCCAAACAACCACAACAGCUGCCCCAACUACUACCAAAUCUGGCCAAACUACAACAACAGCUGCCCCAACAACUACCACAGCUGGCCAAACAACUAGCACAGCUAGCCCAACUACUACCACAGCUGGACCAACAACUAUUGCAGCUGGCCAAACAACCACCACAGCUGCCCCAACAACUACCACGGCUGGCCAAACAACUAGCACAGCUGGCCCAACAACUACAGCAGUUGAACCAACAACAACCACAGCUGGACAAACAACCACCACAGCUGGCCCAACAACUACAACAGCUGGACCAACAAUUACCACAGCUAGCCAAACAACUACCACAGCUGGCCCAACGCCAACCACAGCUGGACCAAUAACUGCCACAGCUACCCCAACAACUACCACAUCUAGUCCAACAACUAUCACAUCUAUUCCAACUAUAACCACAUCUAGCCCAACUACAACAUCAGCAAGCCCAACAAAUACCACAUCUAGUCCAACAAUUACCACAUCUAGCCCAACUACAACCACAGCAAGCCCAACAACUAUCACAUCCAGCCCAACAAUUACCACAUCUAGCCCAACAACUACCACAGCGGGCCAAACUACAACCACAGCUAGCCCAACUACCACAGCAACAACACUAGUUACUGUACCUGGACUACAGCCAAUAGUAGUACAGAUAGUAGUAGUACACCCAGUAGGAGUACAGUCAGUCGGAGUACAGACGGUAGUACUACAGCCAGUAGGAGUACAGACAGUAUUACAGACAGCAGCACAGACAGUAGUAGUACAGCCCGUCGGAGUACAGCCAGUCAUAGUACAGACUGUAGUACUACAGCCAGACGGAGUACAGACAAUAAUACAGACAGUAGUAUUACAGCCAGUAGGAGUACAGCCAGUAGUACCACAGCCAGUCGGAGUACAGACAAUAAUACAGACAGUAGUAUUACAGCCAGUAGGAGUACAGACAGUAGUAUUACAUCCAGUAGGAGUACUGCCAGUAGGAGUACAGACAUUAGUAUCACAGCAAGUAGGAGUACAGCCAGUAGGAGUACAGCCAGUGGGAAUACAGACAGGAGUACAGCCAGUAGUUCCAGUUGCCAUGGUUCCAGUAGUCAUAUUGCCAGCAGGCAUAAUUCCAGGAGGCCUGAGACCUUUCUCCUCUUCAGUUCAGAACCAAUACAGUUUUGUUGUUCUAACACUCAUUGGAAUCACAACCAAGCUUUUCAUUUAGUGUUACUUUCUGAUGCCUUGUUUUUAUGUUUGCAAAUUGUUGCAUAUUUAUAUUUAUAUGAAGUGGUAGCAUAUUUAAGUAUUUAAUGUAUGUAUUUAUGGGAUCUUGUGAUAUACCAUUGAAAUAAAUGUAUUGAUGAAGUUAAGUAAGUUGUUACGUUUACUGUAAAUCAUACAAUUCUGUGUAAUAAACCUCAACAAAUGUGACUCUUCUCCUAGAAUUACAUUUUGGGACUUUUAGCAUACGCCUUCAUCACAGUAGCAGAUAAGGCUAAUCACAAUCAAUGGAUUCAAUCAAACGUGUAGCAACUACAAAAGAUUUGCUACACUAUCAACUUUGAAAAAAAACUAAUGCCGCUACGCAAUCUGCUGGAAGGAAGGCAGAGAACUUUAAAGGGAAAACACAAGGAGCAGGGAUUUCCUCGUCUUUCACUAUUCAGACAACGUUCACAAUAGCAUUGGUACAUCGAUCAUAUAAAGUCAAGUCAAAU
ensembl:lncRNA